CCUACGGGGGGCAGCAGUGGGGAAUAUUGCACAAUGGGGGAAACCCUGAUGCAGCGACGCCGCGUGAGCGAAGAAGUAUUUCGGUAUGUAAAGCUCUAUCAGCAGGGAAGAAAAAUGACGGUACCUGAGUAAGAAGCACCGGCUAAAUACGUGCCAGCAGCCGCGGUAAUACGUAGGGAGCAAGCGUUAUCCGGAAUUAUUGGGUGUAAAGGGUGCGUAGACGGGAUAACAAGUUGGUUGUGAAACCCCUCGGCUCAACUGAGGAACUGCAACCAAAACUAUUAUUCUUGAGUGCAGGAGAGGAA
rnacentral:rRNA from 1 species